rnacentral:rRNA from 1 species
UUGCCUUAGUAACGGCGAGUGAAGCGGCAACAGCUCAAAUUUGAAAGCUGGCCCUUUUAGGGUCCGCAUUGUAAUUUGUAGAGGAUGAUUCGGCGAGGGCUCCUGCCUAAGUCCCCUGGAACGGGGCGUCAUAGAGGGUGAGAAUCCCGUAUGCGGUAGGUUGCCUUAGCCAUGUGAAUCUCCUUCGACGAGUCGAGUUGUUUGGGAAUGCAGCUCUAAAUGGGAGGUAAAUUUCUUCUAAAGCUAAAUACCGGCCAGAGACCGAUAGCGCACAAGUAGAGUGAUCGAAAGAUGAAAAGCACUUUGGAAAGAGAGUUAAAAAGUACGUGAAAUUGUUGAAAGGGAAGCGCUUGCAACCAGACUUGUCCGCAGUUGCUCAGCCGGUCUCCUGACCGGCGUACUCUUCUGCGGCCAGGCCAGCAUCAGUUCGGGCGGUCGGAUAAAGGCCUCGGGAAUGUGGCUCCUCUCGGGGAGUGUUAUAGCCCGGGGUGCAAUGCGGCCAGCCUGGACUGAGGAACUCGCUUCGGCAAGGAUGCUGGCGUAAUGGUUGUAAGCGGCCCGUCUUGAAACACGGACCAAGGAGUCUAACAUCUAUGCGAGUGUUCGGGUGUCAAACCCGUACGCGUAAUGAAAGUGAACGGAGGUGGGAACCCGCAAGGGUGCACCAUCGGCCGAUCCUGAUGUCUUCGGAUGGAUUUGAGCAAGAGCAUAGCUGUUGGGACCCGAAAGAUGGUGAACUAUGCCUGAAUAGGGUGAAGCCAGAGGAAACUCUGGUGGAGGCUCGCAGCGGUUCUGACGUGCAAAUCGAUCGUCAAAUUUGGGUAUAGGGGCGAAAGACUA